UCUCCCUCCCCUCCCCUCCCCUCCCGCGCCCCUUGAGGAGACCGGAGACCCUUCGUGAGGGUCAUCUCCCUUUGCACUUGUCGGGCGGUCACCCUUGAUGCCCCAGGCGCGCACAGACACGCACGCCCAUACACACAGAAGCAUCCACCCAUUGUUCGUAUUUGAGAAAGUGCCGUCCAGGUGUUGAAGGCUGGAAAGAGCUGCAUGACUGGCCAGGGAUUCCUGUUAUUGGAAUUUUGUUUUUGUUGCUGUUAUUACCUCGGAGAUAUCUCCAGAGUUCAAGACCUGGAAGCAGUUACGGAAUUGAGCAAAAGAUGAUGCAAAGGGGUUUUCCACUCCCUACCCUCCUCAGAAACAGAGAAAUGGAACCAAAUCAAAGCUCCUUAAGGAAGAACUGGAAGGCAGACCCAUGGAAAAAAAUGCGUACGAUAUAAUGUGCAGCCCCGCCCCCCAAGGCCCGGGAAAGGUGGCGGGAAGCAAAGGCACAUGGAUGCGGGGCUGCCGGGCUGGGACUUUGUCAUACUCACUGCUGCAUAUUCAGUUCCUAGAGCAGUGAGUGCCUGGUACAUGAUACGGCCUCAUAAAUACCUGUGGAAGGACUGAAUGAACGCUGGAAAAGUCUUGAAGCAGCUGAACAAGGACUGAAGGAGGCAUCUGGGAGUGAAAAAUAUUGGAAAUGUGUCACAGCAGAGGGGCUCUGUCUCUCUCUCUCCUCUCUCUCUCUCCUCGCCCUCCUUCCUUCCUUCCCUUCUGUCUCUGUCUCUGAAAAAUCUUAAUGUUACAUUUGUAAUUAAA